GGUGGCUCAGUUGUAGAGUGCUUGCCUUCCAUGCAUGAGGCCCUGGGUUCGAUUCCUCAGCACCA
rnacentral:tRNA from 1 species